GUUAUUUUUGGCGCCCGCAGAGGCGCGUGUGUUGGGGCGUGUUUUCCUUCCCCAGGUGCCGAGAGCCGGGGCUCCGCCGGCGCCCGAACUGACUGGUCUCUCUCUUCUCUCCCCUGCAGGAAUCUUCCGAUAAUUCUGCCGCGGCGACUUUAACCGUGCGCAAGGCGAGAGCUCGAAACAAACAUCACAUCUAAAUUAAAAAAAAAAAAAAAAAAAAAAAGCGGAAGAAGCGGCCGAGGCGGCGGCGGCGGGAGGAGGAGAGGAGGAGGGGCCGCGCGCGGCGGCCCGAGGCGGCGGCGGGGACGCGGGGACGCGAGGACGCGGCUUUGUGCAGGCGGGUCGCGGGGCGCCCAUGGCGGAGUGCGGCCGGGGGGGCGCCGCCGGCGGGGCCCUGCCCACCUCCCCGGGCCCGGCCCUCGGCGCCAAGGGCGCCCUGAAAGCCGGAGUGGGGGAAGGCGGUGGCGGGGGAGGUCGCCUCGGCCACGGGCGGGCGCGCUAUGACAGCGGCGGGGUUUCCAACGGAGACUGCAGCCUCGGCGUGUCCGGGGACGAAGCCCGGGCUAGCCCUGCCAGGGGACCCCGCAGCGUUGCGCUCGCCCCGACCCCCAGCGCGGUCGUCUGUACCCUCCCCCGGGAGAGCAAGCCGGGCGGCCUGCCCCGCCGGAGCAGCAUCAUCAAGGAUGGUACAAAACAGAAGAGGGAACGGAAAAAAACAGUCUCAUUCAGCAGCAUGCCAACAGAGAAGAAGAUCAGCAGUGCAAGUGAUUGUAUUAAUUCAAUGGUUGAGGGUUCAGAACUCAAAAAGGUUCGCUCCAACUCUAGAAUUUAUCAUAGGUACUUUUUACUGGAUGCCGACAUGCAGAGCCUAAGGUGGGAGCCAUCUAAGAAGGAUUCUGAGAAAGCCAAGAUUGAUAUUAAAUCCAUCAAGGAAGUGAGAACAGGAAAAAACACAGACAUAUUCCGCAGCAAUGGCAUUUCUGACCAGAUAUCUGAAGAUUGUGCGUUUUCCGUCAUAUAUGGAGAGAAUUAUGAGUCACUGGAUUUGGUUGCCAACUCCGCAGAUGUUGCAAACAUUUGGGUUACGGGACUGCGGUACCUAAUUUCUUAUGGAAAACAUACGCUUGAUAUGUUAGAAAGUAGCCAAGAUAACAUGAGGACUUCUUGGGUUUCACAAAUGUUUAGUGAAAUCGAUGUAGAUAACCUUGGACAUAUAACUCUGUGUAAUGCUGUGCAAUGUAUCAGAAACCUCAAUCCUGGUUUAAAAACGAGCAAAAUUGAGCUUAAGUUCAAAGAAUUGCAUAAAUCAAAGGACAAAGCUGGUACCGAGGUCACAAAGGAAGAAUUUAUUGAGGUUUUUCAUGAGCUUUGUACUAGACCUGAAAUUUAUUUCCUUUUAGUUCAGUUUUCAAGCAAUAAAGAAUUCCUUGAUACCAAGGACCUUAUGAUGUUUCUUGAGGCAGAACAGGGUGUGGCACAUAUAAAUGAGGAAAUAAGCCUUGAAAUUAUUCACAAAUAUGAGCCAUCCAAAGAGGGUCAGGAAAAGGGAUGGCUCUCCAUAGAUGGGUUCACUAAUUACCUUAUGUCACCUGACUGUUAUAUAUUUGAUCCAGAACAUAAGAAGGUCUGUCAGGAUAUGAAGCAACCUCUGUCUCAUUACUUUAUAAACUCAUCUCAUAAUACAUACUUAAUAGAGGAUCAGUUCCGAGGUCCCUCCGACAUCACAGGAUAUAUUCGAGCUCUUAAAAUGGGUUGCCGGAGUGUUGAAUUAGAUGUAUGGGAUGGGCCGGACAAUGAACCUGUAAUUUACACAGGCCACACCAUGACCUCUCAGAUAGUUUUCCGCAGUGUCAUUGAUAUUAUUAACAAGUAUGCAUUCUUUGCUUCAGAGUAUCCUCUUAUCUUGUGUUUAGAAAACCACUGUUCCAUUAAACAGCAGAAGGUAAUGGUUCAGCACAUGAAGAAACUUUUAGGAGACAAGCUCUAUACAACAUCACCCAAUGUUGAGGAAUCUUAUCUACCAUCCCCAGAUGUCCUGAGAGGGAAAAUACUAAUUAAAGCAAAGAAGCUGUCCUCAAAUUGCUCUGGGGUAGAAGGAGAUGUUACUGAUGAAGAUGAAGGAGCAGAAAUGUCUCAGAGGAUGGGAAAAGAGAAUGUGGAGCAACCCAACCAUGUGCCUGUGAAGCGAUUUCAGCUUUGUAAAGAACUGUCUGAACUGGUCAGCAUCUGCAAAUCAGUUCAGUUCAAAGAAUUUCAGGUGUCAUUUCAGGUUCAGAAGUACUGGGAAGUCUGUUCCUUUAAUGAAGUGCUUGCCAGCAAGUAUGCCAAUGAAAAUCCAGGGGACUUUGUAAAUUACAACAAACGUUUCCUUGCUAGGGUUUUUCCCAGUCCAAUGAGAAUUGAUUCCAGUAACAUGAACCCUCAAGAUUUUUGGAAAUGUGGUUGCCAAAUUGUAGCCAUGAACUUUCAGACACCAGGACUGAUGAUGGACCUGAAUAUUGGCUGGUUUAGGCAGAACGGAAACUGUGGCUAUGUCCUCCGGCCGGCCAUCAUGAGGGAGGAGGUCUCCUUCUUCAGCGCCAAUACAAAAGACUCUGUCCCAGGGGUCUCACCUCAACUUCUUCACAUUAAAAUCAUCAGUGGGCAGAACUUUCCCAAGCCGAAAGGAUCAGGUGCCAAAGGUGACGUGGUGGAUCCUUAUGUCUAUGUUGAAAUCCAUGGAAUCCCUGCUGAUUGUGCAGAACAAAGGACAAAAACAGUGCACCAGAAUGGAGACGCUCCCAUUUUUGAUGAAAGCUUUGAAUUUCAAAUCAACCUGCCUGAACUGGCCAUGGUGCGCUUUGUAGUGCUGGAUGAUGACUACAUUGGGGAUGAAUUCAUUGGCCAGUACACAAUUCCCUUUGAAUGUUUACAGACGGGCUACCGCCAUGUCCCCCUGCAGUCCUUAACUGGAGAGGUCCUUGCACAUGCUUCUUUAUUUGUCCACGUGGCUAUUACUAACCGAAGAGGAGGAGGGAAGCCUCAUAAAAGGGGCCUUUCUGUGAGAAAAGGGAAGAAAUCCAGGGAAUAUGCAUCUUUGAGAACAUUGUGGAUUAAAACUGUGGAUGAGGUAUUCAAGAAUGCCCAACCCCCUAUACGGGAUGCCACAGAUCUGAGAGAAAACAUGCAGAAUGCGGUGGUGUCAUUCAAGGAGCUGUGUGGCCUCUCCUCUGUGGCCAAUCUCAUGCAGUGCAUGUUGGCGGUGUCUCCCCGCUUUCUGGGGCCCGAUAACACACCCCUAGUGGUCCUGAAUCUCAGUGAGCAGUACCCCACAAUGGAGCUGCAGGGAAUUGUGCCAGAGGUUCUGAAGAAGAUCGUAACAACUUAUGACAUGAUGAUUCAGUCCCUCAAGGCGUUGAUUGAAAAUGCAGAUGCUGUAUAUGAAAAGAUCGUACAUUGUCAGAAGGCAGCCAUGGAAUUCCAUGAACACUUGCACAGCAUAGGCACCAAGGAAGGUUUGAAGGAAAGAAAACUACAAAAAGCAGUGGAGAGCUUUACCUGGAAUAUUACCAUCUUAAAGGGACAAGCAGAUCUUUUGAAAUAUGCUAAGAAUGAGACGUUGGAGAACCUGAAACAAAUCCAUUUUGCUGCUGUUUCAUGUGGACUGAAUAAACCAGGCACCGAAAAUGCUGAUGUCCAGAAGCCACGCCGGAGCUUGGAAGUCAUACCUGAAAAAGCAAACGAUGAAACUGGAGAAUGAGGAAACUUAACAAUAAAUCAUUAUGGAGUUUAUAACUCUAGGACCAAUUGUAGUCAGAUGGGACAUUUGCUUUGCACUCACUAAUGAGAAUAAUAUUCGGGAUUUUAAAGCACAACUGGAAUAGCUAAUUACAGUCUAUUAAAACUGUGAAUGUAUGUAGCAAUCCUGCGUGUGAAGGCAAAUAAACUCUUUAACAAGCAAUUAUAUAGCUGGCCAAAAUAUGCUAUAUUUGUAUACAAAGACAUUCUAACUCAGUUCCGGUAUGAAGAAAAGAUUAUUCACUUUAGCUCCAUUGAGAAACAUUUUCCUAAGUGAAAACAAUUUCUUAAGAUGGAAAUGGAUUGGAUUCACAAAUUAUUAUUUAUUGGAGAAAAAAACCUGAUCUACGCAUUUUUACUUACGUGGGGUUGCCAGAGUCUCUGGGUUCUAGAUGAUUUUGGUGGCAUGCUUGCUGAGCCAUAAUUACUAAAGAGAAUGUAAGUGGACAGGUUCCCUGAAUCCCCGGGGUCCUUGGAGAGCCGUCGAGGAGAAUGUGCAAUUGGACUGAAGCUCCCUGGCUGAAGACACAUGCCGAGUCAGCACAUGGGUGGAGAUGAUGGAAAAGCAGCCAAUCUGGAAACAAUACAUUUGGGACUCUUUGUUGGGGCUGUGAGCCGAGGACUGUGUCCAAGACACUUUGUACAUACCAUUUCAUCUUCUCAACAACCGGCAAAGUACUUGUCUGAUGUUACAGAUGAAGAAAUGAAGACUUUAGACAGGUUAGUUAACGUAACUAAGGCCACGGAGUGCUGAAGUCAGGCUUUAAACUCAGCUUUGCCUGCUCCAAAGCCUCUAUUCCCAACCAUUCUUCUGAAUUCCAGAUAUAUAUAUAUAUAUAUAUAUAUCCUCUAAACUACAAGAUGGGUACUAUCUUGUAAAGCAUAAUGAGGCAGUUGGCAUUUUCUUCUUUUUUUUUUCGAAACAGUCUCGCUCUGUUGCAUAGGCUACAGUGCAGUGGUGCAAUCUCAGCUCACUACAACUCUUGCCUCUCAGGUUCAAAUGAUUCUCCUGUCUCAGCCUCCUGAGUAGCCAGGACUACAGGGGUGCACCACCACUCCCUGCUGAUUUUUGUAUUUUUAGUAGAGACGGUUUCACCGUGUUGGCCAGGCUGAUCUCGAACUCCUGAACUCAAGCGAUCCACCCACCUUGGCCUCCCAAAGUGCUGGGAUUACAGGCGAGAGCCACUGUGCCCAGCUUUAUUCUUCUUAAAUGCGAUACAUGAACUCUCUAGAAGCCACUGAGACUCUGAUUUUAUUUAGCACAUUUUAGACACCAGGGAUUCACUCUGGAUAAAAACAGGCAUGGUCCCAGCCCCCAUGGAACUCACAGUGUAAUUGGGAAGAGAGAGACAUUUAUUCAAAUAAUUCCAAAGGUAUAGGUGCAAUUAAAACUAUGGAAAGUGCUAUGAAGAGGCCCCACUGAGAGGCUGCCUGGGUUCCAUCCCAUCACUUCAUAGCUGAGUGCUGAGGGGAGGUGUGCUUAACCUACCUUACCUCUGUAAUUGUGGAAUUAUUUUGUUUAGUGCUGCUUUCCUUUACAGGGUCUUAUGAGUUGUUUGUAAAGCACUUAGACCAGCACCCAGCUGGCAGUGGACUUGUUGUAAUGUUGCCAUUCGUUAUUGAUAGGUGGGACCAUGAGGGUGUUUAACGGGGCCUCACCACUCUUGAGAAGAUGGAGGGAGUAUUUAGUGCUCUGUAACCCAACCUCUAUAACCUGAAACAGUCAUUUGUUCUCAUGUCUGGGGCUUUGUGUGUCGACUGGGCUCACCUCAGUUUUCUUACUUGGGGUCUCUUGUGCAGGCGCUGGCAGAUGUUAGCAGGGGCUUUGGUUAUGUGACUGGGCUGAACUGCCGGCUGGCUCACUAGCUAGUACAGCCACUGCAGGGAGCUCAUCUGGGGCUGUGGACCAGAGCAUCUGCAUAGGUCUCUCCAUGUGGCUUGGACCCCUCACUGCAGGACACUGCGUUCGGAGAGGGAUUGUCCCAAGGGCAAGCAUUCCAAAGACCCACGUGGAAGUAGCUUUUCUUCCUGAGGCUCCUGGAGGCCUAUCCUCAGAAGCCUCGGCAUGUCCCUGCUGCUACAUCCUAUUGUUUAGGCAAGUCGCUAGGUCCUGCCCAGGUCCAAGGGGGUGGAGAACUCGACCAGAGGGUGGCAAGGUCACAUUGUGGAAAAUGAUAUGGGAUAGGAGAUGUUAAGACUAUUUUUGGAAAAUACAGUCUACUGUGGAAGCUUCCCUGAGAAAGCGGUAUUUGAGCUGAGACCUGAAGGCAAAGAUGCUCUCCCUACUUGCCCCACCCCAAAAAAAAAGGGUCAGCAGUAGGGGAUAGAAGAGUGGAAAGCAAUUAGGCAAUUUAGACCAAGAGCCCAGCAUUCUGCAAAGGCCGGAGGCAGGAGGGAGCGCAGCCUUGCUUGAGGACCUGAAAGGACAGUGAGACUGGGGUGCAGAGAAGGAAAAUGAGAGGGUGUGGAGGGAGUUUCAAGGGCACGGGGCCUCUCAGGGAGGGCUUGGCAGUCCUUGUUAGGGAGUUUGUUCUUGUUUUCCUAAAAGAUUAGUGCCAACCAUUUAGUUGUAUUAUAUUUAACCCACUUUGCAUUCAUUUUACUUAAUUACAAAAGAAGUACAUGCUCAUUGUUACCAAAAAAAGUCAAAUGCUGACAAAUGUAAAUAUAAAAAGUGCAUGUGCCCCCUCACACUGCCCUUCUCCCACUCCCCAUGGGAAACAGCAUGGCCAACGCCUCCUUACAUGGCGAUGUUCAGAUGCCACCAACAAAUGCCCUCCUCCUCUCCCUGAGAAGUUCUGACUUUUACUGUCAAGGAAACACUUAGCUGUUUUUAAGGAUCAGAGAAAUCAAAGCAUAGAGUACUUAAGUAAAGGCAAUGAGCAAUUCAGCUUUAUCAACUAGAAUAUUUAUGUAUUUAUUCAAAGCCACAGAUGUUAGAUGUUAGGUAGAAAGUAGGGAUCAACAGUUUAACAACUUAUGUUUAGAUGUUACUAUUCAAAUGUAUAAGAACAAGUGUCUCCCCUCUAAAAAUAUUUUUAAAAUCUCACACGAGACUCUAAACCAAAAACCAUUGUAAAAAAUCCUUUGGAAAUGGACCAUUGUAGCCAUUGAGAUGACAGGUAAAGGUGAGCAUUCUGAACAUAUAACAAAAUAUAAGAUAGGUAAUAAAUAUUCAAAGCAUGAAGGAGGUAUAACAUGAAGAGUAAAGUCCUCCCCUCAUCUCCCCAAGCCUCAGUGCUAAGAACUUAUAAUGUGUAAUUUCUGGUUUUGAUUCUUCUGAUAAUUAUCUCACAAACUCUGGACCAGUGCUGUAAAAGAGAAUUUUCUAUGAUGAUAGAAACAUCUAAAUCUGUGCUCUCUAAUAUGAUAGGCAUGAGCUACAUGUUGCUAUAAAUUUAAAUUUUAAUUAAUAAAAAUGUAAUACAAUAAAAUAUGUAGUUUCUCAGCUGCACUUGCUGUAUUUCAGUAAGUCAGUAGCCCCAUGUGGCUAGUGGCUACCACAAUGGACAGUGCAGUGAUUGAUAAUAUGUUUAUACCUCUGCUUUCUGCUUUAUCAACUUUAAAAAGACAUAGUGACAUCACAUGAAGGGAGAUGAAAAAUGUGGCUCAUUUCACUACCUCUUCUCUUUGCUCUCCUUCCAUUCCCAAUCCCUAUUAAGAACAUUUUCAUUUUAGUUCUACUGGAUUACCUUAAUAACUUUUAAUAAUAUAAUUAAAAUUGCUUAUUGAUGCAUCAAUUGUUGACUUUCAUACUUUGAUCCACCACCAUGUUAAAUCAGAAAAUUCAUGUUCUCUAUUGUUUCCCUCCAAAACUUCUGCACUUUUAGCUCCCAACCACCUGCUACUCUACUUGCCACAUCGGCAGUCUCUAGAUAGCAUUAAUAUUCUCUUCUGUGACUAUAAACUCUCCAUGCUUCUCUAAGAUUGGUUCUAAAAUUGGAAAGUAAUAACCAGCCUUUAUAAUAUUAUAAUUGCAUAAGAAUUAAUUUGUUACACAAAUAGUGUGGCCAAACCUGCAAAAAAGGAGACAUUUGUGAUCCUGUGCCACCAAACUUGUACCAUUCAAAAGUGAAUAUGCUAACUUCCGCCUUCAGCCAAGGUAGAGAACAGAUUUUCCACAUAAAGCAACCCAAAGCAGAAAAAAUAUAUAUGAAACAAUAGUUUUCAUAACCCCGGACCCUUAGCAUAGAAAGACAGUGAUGACUUAGAAAAGGGAAACAAAUGGGGUGAGCUCUAUGAUUGCCCCAGCUUAUAACGUGGAGUUUCCAGGCCACAAUGCAAGAAGGAGAAAGCCAGGCAGAGCCUAGAAGACCCCCUGAAUUGAAGCAAUGGAGGUGAGAUACCUGGGAGACCAAGGUGGCUAGAGUUUUCAGGACAGAGCACCCAAGAGGAGAGAGCCACACAAAGAAAGAGCAGGCAUCUGUAGAGUGCCCCUCUGGCAUCCAGCAGAGUACUGAUCACCACACCUGUGAGAACACUACCUGAGGCAAAGCACAGAACCACUCAAAUAACUGGAGCAACAACCAACCUUUUAACAAUUAUCAACCCUCAUGGAAGUCAUUUUAGACAUUUUCAUAAUCAUUCUCCCCCAUGAAAUUUUUAUGCCAUGCAUAUUAAUGUAUAUGUGAUACAUUAUGUAUAUGAUAUAUAUAUGAUACAAAUAUUAUGUAUACCUUUGCUUUAUGCAUACACAGUUAAAUUUUUUCCCUAAAAACUUAAUUUUGUCCCUUUGGGAGCAAUAUUGCCAUCUUUGAGAAUGUAUGGAUUAGAGAGAACAGUACACAGUACAUAGGGCCAGGAUAGAGUCAAUCAGAGAUCCUCAUACUUCAGAAGGGUCUUGUCUCAAGUAGGUAAUAAUUGGCCCCAAAAUAUACACUGCCCUGGUCCUACCUAAAACGUUUUAAAGCAAGACCUGAAAAGAUCAAACUGUUUUUCAGUAACUAAAUUGCUUGCCUGAUCAGGACCCAAAAUGGUAAAAUUCACAAAUGUUUCCAAAAGAGAAUUACUAAGCAUGCAAAGAAGUAGAAAAAUAUGACCUAUAAUGAAGAGAAAAUUAAAACCAACCCAAAACUGGCAUAGAUGUCAGAAUUAGUAGACAGGAGUGUUAAACCCUUACUAUAGCUGUAUUUCUUAUGUUCAAAAAGUUGAGUAGUGACAUGGAUAAUAUUUCUUAAAAGGCCGAAAUCAAACCUCUAAGGAUAAAAAUUUCAAUAUGUGAGAUAAAAAAUACAAUGGAUGGAAUUAAUGACAGAGUAGAUUUUGCAAAAGAAAAGAUUAAACCUGAAGACAUAGCAAUAAUACAAAGUAUCCAAAAUAAAGCACAGACAUAAAAGAAAACAUAAAACAAAAAAUGAACGACCAUCACUAAAAGGAAGACAAGAAGGAAGGAAAGAAGGAAGAGAAGACCAGAAAACAAAUAACAAAAUGGCAGGCAUAAAUCACUACUUAUCAAUAAUUACAUUUAAUGCAAAAUGGACUAAACUUUCCGAUCAAAAGACGUAGAGUGGCUGAAUGGAUGAAAAAAUAAGACACAGUGAUCUGUUGCCUACCAGAAACAUGCUUCACCUACAAAAAUACACAGACUGAAAAUAAAGAGAUGGAAAAUGAUAUUUCAUGCCAUUGAAAACCAAAAAAAAGAGCAGGAGAAGCUAUACUUAUAUCAAAAAAGUAGAUUUCAUGACAAAAACUGUAAGAAGAGAAAAAGAAGUCAUUAAAUGAUAAAAGGGUCACUUCAACAAAAGGAUAUGGAUAUUGUAAAUAUAUACACACCCAAAACUGGAGCAGCAAGCUGUAUAAAGCAAAUAUUAUUAGAGCUAAAGACAGAGAUAGACCCCAAUAUGAUAGCUGGAGACUUUAACACCCCAUUUUCAGCAUUGGCCAGAUCUCCCAGACAAAAAAUCAACAAAGAAACAUCAGACUUAUUCUACACGAUAGAACAAAUGGACCAAAUAGAUAUUUACAGAACUUUUCAUCAAAUAGCUGCAAAAUUUUUCUCUCCAGACCAUGGAUCAUUCUCAAGGACAGACCAUAUGUUGGGUCACAAAACAAAUUUAAAAUAUUCAAAAACAUUUAAAUAAUAUCAAGCAUUCUUCUCUGACUACAAGGGACUAAAACUACAAAUCAACAGCAAGAGGAAUUUUGGAAACUACACAAACACAUGGAAAUUAAAUAAUAGGCUCCUGAAUGACAAGUGGGUCAAUGAAGAAAUUAAGAAGGAAAUUGAAAAAUUUCUUAAAACGAAUGAUAAUGGAAACACAACAUACCAAAACCUAUGGGAUACAGUAAAAGUAAUACUAAAAGGGAAAGUUAUAGCUGUAAAUGCCUACAUCAAAAAGGAAGAAAAACUUCAAAUAAAUGACCUAAUGAUUCAUCUUAAAGAACUAGAAAAGCAAGGGCAAACCAAAUCCAGAAUUAGAAGAAAAAAAGAGGUUUUAGUAAAGGUCCGAGCAGAAAUAAAUGAAAUUGAAAUGAAGAAAACAAUACAAAAGAUCAAUGAAACAAAAAGCUGGUUUUUGAAAAGAUAACAAAAUUGACAACCUUUAGCCAGACUAAGAAAAAAGAAAGCAGGCCAAAAUAAAUAAAAUCAAAGAUGAAAAAGGAGACAUUGCAACCAAUACUGCAGAACCUCAAAAGGUCAUUAGUGGCUACAAUGAGCAACUAUAUGCCAAUAAAUUGGAAAAUCUAGAUGAAAUGGAUACAUUCCUAGACAAGUACAACCUACCAAGAUUGAAUCAAGAAGAAAUCCAAAACCUGAACAGAAAAAUAACAAGUAACAAGGUUGAAGCUAUAAUAAAAAGUGUCCCACUAAAAAAAGUCUGGGACACGGUGACUUCACUUUUGAAUUCUACCAAACAUUUAAAGAAGAAUUAAUACCAAUCCUACUCAAACUAUUCCGAAAAAUAGAAGAGGAGGGAAUACUUCAAAACACAUUCUAUAAGGCCAGUAUUAACCUGAUACUAAAACCAGACAAAGAGAUUUCAAUAAAAGAAAACUACAGGCCAAUAUCUGUGAUAAAUAUUGAUGCAAUCAUUCUCAACAAAAUACUAGCAAACCAAAUUCAGCAACACAUUAGAAAGAUCAUUCAUCAUAACCAAGUGGAAUUUAUCCAUGGGUACAGGGAUGGUUCAACAUAUGCAAAUUAAUCAAUAUGAUACAUCCUAUCAACAGAAUGAAGGACAAAAACCAAAUGAUCAUUUCAGCUGAUGCUGAAAAAGCAUUUGAUAAAGCUUAACAUUCUGUCAUGAUAAAAAAAAAAACCCUCAAAAAACUGGGUAUAGAAGAAAUAUCCCUGAACAUAAUAAAAGCCAUAUAUUACAGAGCCGUGUAUUACAGUAUGGCACUAUCUGUUAGUGCCAAAAAAUGGAAAAGUAUUCCUUAUUCAUGGAUUGGAAGAAUCAAUAUUGUUAAAAUUUCCAUAUGGCCCAAAGCAAUCUACAGAUUUGAUGCAAUCCCUAUCAAAAUACUACUGACAUUCUUCACAGAAAUUGAAAAAAAAAAUCCUAACACUUACAUGAAACCACAAAAGACCACCCAGAAUAGCCAAAGCUAUUCUGAGCAAAAAGAACAAAACUGGAGCAAUCACAUUACCUGACUUCAAAUUAUACUAUGGAGUUAUAGUAACCAAAGCAGCAUGGUACUGGCAUAAAAGCAGGCACAUAGACGAAUAGAACAGAAUACAGAACCCAGAAACAAAUCCACAUACCUACAGUGAACUCAUUUUCGACAAAGGUAGUAAAAAAACACUGGGGAAAACACUGUCUCUUUAAUAAAUGGUGCUGGAAAAACUGGAUAUCUAUAUGCAGAAGAAUAAAACUAGAUCCUUUUCUCUUGCCAUAUACAAAAAUAAAAUCAAAAUGGAUUAAAGACUUAAAUCUAAGGCCUCAAACUAUGAAACUACUACAAGACAACAUUAGGGAAACUCUUCAGGAUAUUGGUCUGGGCAAAAAUUUCUUGAGUAAUACCCACAAGCACAGGCAACCAAAGCAAAAAUGGACAAAUGGGAUCACAUCAAGUUUAAGAAGCUUCUGCACAGCAAACAAUCAACAAAAUAAAGAGACAACCCACAGAAUGGGAGAAAAUUUUUGCAAACUAUGCACCUGACAAGGGACUAAUAACCAGAAUAUAUAAGGAGCUUAAACAGGUCUGUAGAAAAAAAUCUAAUAAUCUAAUUUAAAAAUGGGCAAAAGAUUUGAAUAGACAUUUCUCAAAAGAAGACAUGCAAAUGACAAACAAGUAUAUGAUAAAUUUCUCAGCAUCAUUGAUCAUCAGAGAAAUGCAAAUCAAAACUACAAUUAGAUAACAUCUCACCCCAGUUAAAGGUGUGAGGAUAAAGGACUUUAUCCAAUAUCAGACAAUAACAAAUGCUGACAAGGAUGUGGAGAAAAAGGAACCUUCACACACUGUUGGUGGGAAUGUAAAUUGGUAUAAUCACUAUGGAGAACAGUUUGGAGAUCCCUCAAAGAAUUAAAAACUGAGCUACCGUAUGAUCCAGCAAUUCUACUGCUGAGUAUAUACCCAAAAGAAAGGAAAUCAGUAUAACAAAGAGAUUUCUGCACUCCCAUGUUUAUUGCAGCACUGUUCACAAAGGCCAAGAUUUGGAAGCAACCUAACUGUCCAUCAACAGAUGUAUGGAUAAAGAAAAUGUGGUACUUAUACACAGUGGUAUACUAUUCAGCCACAAAAAGAAUGAAAUUCUGUCAUCUGCAAUAACAUGGGUGGAACUGGAGGUCAUUAUGUUAAGUGAAACAAGCCAGGCACAGAAAGACAAACAUCACAUGUUCUCACUUAUUUGUGGGAUAUAAAAAAAUCAAAACAAUUGAACUCUUGGACAUAGAGUGUAGAAAGUUGGUUACCAGAGGCUGGGAAGGAUAGUGAGUGGGUGUUGGGGGAGGCGGGGAUGGUUAAUGGUACCAAAACUAGACAAAAGGAGUAACAUCUAGUAUUUGAUAGCACAGCAGGGGACAAUAAUAAUAACUUAAAUGUACAUUUCAAAAUAACUAAAAGAGUAUAAUUAGAUUGUAACACAAAGGAUAAAUGCUUGAGGGGAUGGAUACCCUGUUUUUCAUGAUAUGAUUAUUAUGCAUUGCAUACCUGUACUAAAAUAUCUCAUGUACUCCAUAAAUAUAUACACCUACUAGAUGCUCACAAAAAUUUAAAAUAUUUUUUUUUAAUGAACAGAGUAUUGGUGAGCUGUGGGACAACUUCAAGUGGCCUCACGUAAAUGUAAUUGGAGUAUCUGAAGGACAAGAGUGAGCAGGACAGAAAAAAAAGUUGAAAAAAUAAUAUCCAAACAUUUUUCACAUUUGGUGUACAUUGUAAACCCACAGAUUCAAGAAGCUCAACAAACCCCAGGAAUAAGAUGCAUGAAGAAAACUACACCAUGGCACAUACCAUAGUUAAAUUGUUUAAAACCCAUAGUGAUAAAGAAAAAAAAAUUGUACAGGAAGCUAGGGGAAAAAAAAGACAUUUCAUAUAGAAGAGCAAAAAUAAGGAUGGUAGCAGUUUGUCUUCAGAAACAAUGUAAGUGAGAAGGUAGUGAAGCAAUAUCUUCAAUGUACUGACUCCAAGAAAAAAAUUCUUCCUAGAUUUCUAUACCAGCAAAAAAUGUCUUUUAAGAGUAGAAAAAUGAAAAUCAGUUUGUAUGUACAAAAGCUGAAGCAAUUCAUUACCAACAGACUCACAUUAAAAGAACAGUUUUCUUAAGUGCUUAGGAAGUAGAAAAUGAAACCAGAUAGAAAUAUUGAUCUGCUCACACAAAAAAAGAAGAGUACUUGAAAUGGUAACUACAUAUAUAUUAAAUAAAUGCAUUUUAAUUUUUUUCUUAUUGCGUAAAUCUCUUCAAAAGAUAAGUGACAAUGUGGGCUUUAUAUGCAUACAUAGUAUGACAACGAUUGCACAAAGUCCUGGAGGGGAGAAAUGAAAGUAUAUUAUUGCAGGGUUUUUAUGCUAGGUGUGAAAUGGUAUAAUUGCACUUAAAGUAGGCUACUAUAUGUUAAUGAUGUAGACUAUAAGCCCUGGGAAACUACUAAAAUAACAAAAUAAAGAGUUAUAGCUAAUAAGCCAACAAAGGAAGUAAAAUAGAAUAAAAAAGUACUUAAAGCAAAAAAAGAGGGCAAAAAAGGAGCAAAGAAUACAUGGGACAAAUAGAAAAAUAGAAAACAACUGGCAUUAUUAAAUACAAAAACUUCAUAAAUUUGAUUUUAAAAUAAACUUCUGACCUUCAAAUGACACUAUUAAGACAAAACUCAAGCCACAGACUGGGAGAAAGUAUUUGCAGCACUAUAUUUGAUAAAGGACUUGUUUCCAGAAUAUUUAAAGAACUCCUACAACUCAACAGUCAGAAAGCAAACUCAUAUGAUAAAAAUCAUAGAUAAAGGACUUAAAUCUAAGGCCUUUUAUAUUGUUAAAAUAUAGCAAUAGCCAAAAAGCACUUGUAAAGAUGCUCAACUGCAUAAGUUAUUAGGGAAAUGGAAAUUAAAACCACAACAUAUGUCACUCCACACUCACUAAUAUGGAUAAAAUUUUAAAGACUGAUGAUAUGGUUUGGCUGUGUUCCCACCCAAAUCUCAUCUUGAAUUUCCACGUGUUGUGGGAGGGACCUGGUGGGAGGUAAUUGCAUCAUGGGGGCAGGUCUUUCCCUUGCUGUUCUCAUGAUAGCAAAUAAGUCUCACAAGAUCCGAUGGUUUUAUAAGGUGGAAUUUGCCUGCACAAGCUCUCUGCCUGCUGCCAUCCAUGUAAGACGUGACUUGUUCCUCCUUGCCUUCACCAUGAUUGCAAGGCCUCCUCAGCCACUUGGAACUGUGAGUCCAUUAAACUUCUUUCCUUUGUAAAUUGCCCAGUCUCCAGUAUGUCUUUAUCAGCAGUGUGAAAAUGGACUAAUAAAACUGACAAUACUAAAUGUUGGUGAAAAUAUAAUUCUUAUACAUUACUGUUGGAAAGAAAAUGGUACAACCACUUUGGAAAAUAGUUGGACAUUUUUAAAUAUUGUUAAACAUACACCUGACCUAUGAACUAACAAUUCUAAUUCCAACUUAUAUCUACUGUAAGACUCACUCAAGAAUAUUUGUAGUAGCUUUAUUCAUAUUCAUAGUAUUCAAAAACCUUAAACUACCCAAAUGACCAUCAAUACAAAAAUGGAAAAAUGAAUUGUGCUAUAUUCAGGAAAUAGAUGUAUGUUCAACUAUAAGAAGAAGGUGGUACCUGCAACAAACAUGGGUGACUCUAUAAAACCUCUUGCUGAGUGAAUAAGUCCAGACACUACAGACUACAUACCACAUAAUUCCAUUAGUUCUAGAAUAGGCAAAACUAAGAGAUAGUAAUAGAAAUCAUGUGAGUGGGCCAGGCGCGGUGGCUCAUGCUUGUAAUCCCAGCACUUUAGGAGGCCGAGUCGGGCAGAUCACGAGGUCAGGAGAUCGAGACCACGGUAAAACCCCGUCUCUACUAAAAAAUACAAAAAAAAUAGCCGGGCGUGGUGGCGGGCGCCUGUAGUCCCAGCUACUCGGAGAGGCUGAGGCAGGAGAAUGGCGUGAACCUGGGAGGCGGAGCUUGCAGUGAGCCGAGAUUGCGCCACUGCACUCCAGCCUGGGUGACAGAGUGAGACUCUGUCUCAAAAAAAAAAAAAAAAAAUCAUGUGAGUGGUUUCCUAGAGUGGGGUGGGUUGUAGUGGGAGUUGACCCCAAAGGGAACUUUCUGGAGUGACUUACAUGUAAUAUAGAUGUAGUAAGUCAAAAUCAUGAUUGGUGUAGUACACCUGGUUGCAACUGGUAUACAACUAGUACAAAUAGUACAACUAGUGUACCUAGUUAUACUUACAAUGUACAUGACAUCUGUCAAAACUCAUUGAAUUGUACAUUUGAUAUCUUUACAUUUUAUUGUAUGUAAAUUAUACCUUAAUAAAGCUGAUUUUACAUCUUAAAAAGAAAAAUAUACCAGAAAAAAUAGGAGAAAAACAAUUGGAAGUAGGAGUGGAGUGGGGAAUAUGCUGUAUUAUUAUUACUAUUAUUUCAUGCUUUUCCCUUAUCAGUAAAAUUUUCCUUGUUUCUUAAUCAUAUAACAUGUUACAACUUAUUAUUAUUAUUAUUUGAGACAGAGUCUCUCUCUGUCACCCAGGCUGGAGUGCAGUGGAGUGAUCUCUGCUCACUGCAACCUCUGCCUCCCGGGUUCACAUGACUCUUGUGCCUCAGACUCUGGAGUAGCUGAGAUUACAGGCAGCCACCACCAUGCCCAGCUAAUUUUUGUACUUUUUGUAGAGACACGGUUUUGCCAUGUUGCCCAGGCUGGUCUCGAACACUUGAGCUCAAGAAAUCCACCUGCCUCAGCGUCCCAAAGUGCUGGGAUUUCAGGCGUGAGCCACCACACCUAGCCUACAGCUUAUUUUCUUUUGAAGAUGUUUUCUUCUCUGAACCUUCUGAUUUCUUGUUUUAAUUUGGACAAAUUACUUGUUAGGCAUGCUGCACAGGUUUAAUUUUGGGAUUCACUUUUAGUUAUUUCCAUGCUGACUUAAUUUGAGUAUAUAUUGCUCUUUCUUGCAUUCUAUUUUCUUCUUUUUUAUUUUCUUUUUUUUCUGAGUACAUUUGUGAGUCAUUCUUUCAUAAAGUGUUUAUAGAAGGCAGAUUUUCUGAGUCCACAUUCAAAACUUAUUUACUGUUCUCAUAUCUGAUUGAAAGUUUGGCUGGGUAUCUAAUCCUAGGCUCAAAACCAUUUACUCUUGGAACCUUGAAGUAGCAUUACUUUUUUUUCUAGAACUAAUAUUGCUUAUAGGAAAACAGGUAGGUUUCUGAUCUUGUUCCUUUGUAAGUAAUCUGUUUCAUUAUCCUGGGAACUUUCUGGAUUUAUUCUUGCUUUUUUGCUGUUCUAAAAUGUUGUGAUGAUACAUAUAAGUUUAUUCAUUCAUUCAACAAAUAGUUAUUAUAGGUAUUGAUUGCUAGGAACCCUAGAGGCUGGGAAUGAAGCCAUAAGUUUCCUGUUCUUAUGGAGGUUACAUUCUAAUGUGGGAAAUAAACAAUAAAAUAUGAACAAAUAAGCAGAUGAGAAACCUUCAGAUAUCAGUAAGUACCAAGAAAAUACAACAGGAGAAUGGAAUAGGUCACAGUAAACUGGUGCAGGAUGAGGGGGUGAUUUCGAUGAGGUGCUUAGGGGUGGGGAGCCUCUCUAAAGUGACACUGAAGCAGAGCUCUGAAUAAUAAGAAGGAGCCACGUAGCAAUCUGGAAAGGAGCACUAGCAGAAAGGGAACACGACCCCAAAGGACCAAGGCAGGAACGGACUGGAUGUCUGGAAACAGAAACAUGCCAGGGUGACUGGAUAAUUUGUAAUCAAUGCUUGAAAGGGGUAGGAGAUGAGGUCUGAAAGCCAAAAAGGAGAUAGACCCUGCAGAACCUGCAAGGAACUCAGAUCUUAUUCUGGAUAAACUACGGAGGAAUAUGAUCUGAUUUCCACUUUAAAGAUCACUCUCACUGUUGUAUGGAAAUUGGGAUUAUAAAGGGUCUAGAGGAGGAACAGGAAGAUCUGUUAGGAAGCUAUUGCUGUCAACCAGGCAAGCAAUGAUGGUGGUUUGGAAUAGAAUGUGGCCAUAGAGAUGGGGAGAUGUUAUCAGAUGUGGAUCUUAAUUGGAUGCAGGAGGAAAGGAAAUGAAAUCAAGGAUGGCUCCUUGGUUUUCACCUGAGCAACUAGGUGAACAGCAUGCCAUUCAAUGAAAGCAUCAAGACCUGGGGGAAAGCAGGUUUGGAGAAAAACGUUAAAAGUGCUGUUAGGACCUAUCUAAAUUGAUGUGCCAGAUAGACUGAUGGAGCCAGUGUAUAGUCAAAUGGUCUAGGCAGCGAGACGUCAGGGACACAGGUUUGAGAGUCUUCAGUGUGUCAGUGAUGUUUAAUGUCCUGCUUGAUCACUGAUAGGCCCUUUUAUUAUGAAAUCUUGUGUGUCAACUCUGGAAAUAUUUUUCUACUGUUUAUUUAAUUACAAUCUCUCUAUUCUGACUAUUCUUUCUUUCCAGAAUUCCUAUUACAGCCAGCCUUUUGUAUCCAUGGAAUCCACAUUUAUAGGUUCUACUAACAGCGGAUAGAAAAUAUUUUUGUAAAAAAGAUGUACCUCUAAUUAAUGGUGUCCAGCAAAAAAAAAAAUUAAAAAUAAAAAUAAAAAAUAAAUGAACAAAGGAUGGUUGUGUCUGCA